rnacentral:rRNA from 1 species
UACAGAGGUCUCAAGCGUUGUUCGGAUUCAUUGGGCGUAAAGGGUGCGUAGGUGGCGCUGUAAGUCGGGUGUGAAAUUUCGGAGCUUAACUCCGAAACUGCAUUCGAUACUGCGGUGCUUGAGGACUGGAGAGGAGACUGGAAUUCAUGGUGUAGCAGUGAAAUGCGUAGAGAUCAUGAGGAAGACCAGUGGCGAAGGCGGGUCUCUGGACAGUUCCUGACACUGAGGCACGAAGGCCCAGGGGAGCAAACGGG